rnacentral:rRNA from 1 species
GAUGAACGCUAGCGGCAGGCUUAACACAUGCAAGUCGAGGGGUAACGAUGGCUUCGGCCAGUCGACGACCGGCGCACGGGUGAGUAACGCGUAUGCAACCUACCUUCAACAGGGGGAUAGCCCAGGGAAACUUGGAUUAAUAUCCCAUAGUUCAGAUGAAUCGCAUGGUUUAUUUGAUAAAGUUCCGGCGGUUGAAGAUGGGCAUGCGUGCCAUUAGAUAGUUGGUAAGGUAACGGCUUACCAAGUCGACGAUGGCUACGGGGUCUUAAAGGAUGGUCCCGCACACUGGUACUGAGACACGGACCAG